GAGUUUGAUCCUGGCUCAGGAUGAACGCUGGCGGCGUGCCUAAUACAUGCAAGUCGUACGGAAACACUUCGGGUGUCGAGUGGCGGACGGGUGAGUAACGCGUAGGAAUGUACCCUAAAGUGAGGGAUAGUCAUCUGAAAGGAUGAGUAAUACCGCAUAUGGUCUUUUAGAUUAAAGCUUUUUUGAGCGCUUUGGGAGCAGCCUGCGUUAGAUUAGCUAGUUGGUAAGGUAAUGGCUUACCAAGGCGAUGAUCUAUAGCUGGUUUGAGAGGAUGAUCAGCCACACUAGAACUGAGACACGGUCUAGACUCCUACCGGGAGGCAGCAGUAAGGAAUUUUCCGCAAUGGGCGCAAGCCUGACGGAGCGACGCCGCGUGCAGGAUGAAGGUCUUCGGAUUGUAAACUGCUUUUGUAAGCGAAGAAUUUGACGGUAACUUACGAAUAAGGAUCUAGCUAACUACGUGCCAGCAGCCGCGGUCAUACGUAGGAUCCAAGCGUUAUCCGGAAUUACUGGGCGUAAAGAGUUGCGUAGGCGGUUAUUUAAGCAAUCUAUGAAAGCGUGUGGCUUAACCAUACAAGUGUAGGUUGAACUGGAUAACUAGAGUCUAGAAGAGGUCACUGGAAUUUCUGGUGGAGGAGUGAAAUCCGUAGAUAUCAGAAGGAACACCAAUGGCGUAGGCAGGUGACUGGUCUAGCACUGACGCUAAGGCACGAAAGCGUGGGGAGCGAACGGGAUUAGAUACCCCGGUAGUCCACGCCGUAAACGAUGGAUGCUAGCUGUAUGGGGAUUCAACCCCCUGUGUAGUGUCGCUAACGCUUUA
rnacentral:rRNA from 1 species